rnacentral:lncRNA from 1 species
GUCGGAGAAGGAGGACGGGAAAGGCGGCGCGUGGUCUUCAGAUGCCAUCUUGCGUUUGUGGAUCGACGAAGUUGCUGAAGCGGACGCCGAAUGCGAGGGCGAUGGAGAUUGUGAACUCCGUGACCGGCCCGGCGCCGUCAGACGAGAUGAGUGAGCGUCCAUUGGUUCUAAAUAUUUUGAAAUUCAGGGGUUUUAUGGAAAAGAAA